UGAGGAAUAUUGGACAAUGGGCGAAAGCCUGAUCCAGCCAUGCCGCGUGAGUGAUGACGGCCUUAGGGUUGUAAAGCUCUUUCGCUGGUGAAGAUAAUGACGGUAACCAGUAAAGAAGCCCCGGCUAACUUCGUGCCAGCAGCCGCGGUAAUACGAAGGGGGCUAGCGUUGUUCGGAAUCACUGGGCGUAAAGCGCGCGUAGGCGGACUGCCAAGCCAGAGGUGAAAGCCCGGGGCUCAACCCCGGAACUGCCUUUGGAACUGGUAGUCUGGAGUAUCGGAGGGGAUAGCGGAAUUCCUAGUGUAGAGGUGAAAUUCGUAGAUACUAGGAGGAACACCGGAGGCGAAGGCGGCUAUCUGGACGAUUACUGACGCUGAGGUGCGAAAGCGUGGGGAGCAAACAGGAUUAGAUACCCCCGUAGUCC
rnacentral:rRNA from 1 species